rnacentral:rRNA from 1 species
UACGAAGGGGGCGAGCGUUGUUCGGAAUUACUGGGCGUAAAGGCGCGUAGGCGGCCGAUCAAGUCAGAUGUGAAAGUCCUGGGGCUUAACCUGGGGACUGCAUUUGAUACUGAUUGGCUUGAAUGCAGGAGAGGAUAGCGGAAUUCCCAGUGUAGAGGUGAAAUUCGUAGAUAUCGGGAGGAACACCGGUGGCGAAGGCGGCGACCUGGGUAGAUACUGACGCUGAGGCGCGAAAGCGUGGGGAGCGAACAGG